rnacentral:rRNA from 1 species
GAUGAACGCUGGCGGCGUGCUUAACACAUGCAAGUCGAACGGUGACUGCGGUUCUUGCUCUGCUGGAUUAGUUGCGAACUGGUGAUUAACACUUCUGCACUCUGCCCCUGACUCUGGCUUAAGCGCUUGACACGUCGUCUCUUACUGGAUACGAGCUGCGAAGGCAUCUUCAGCAGCCGGAAAGUAGUUCGGUCAGGGAUGAGCUCGCGGCCUAUCAGCUUGGUGGUGAGGUAAUGGAUCAGCAAGGCGUGCACGGGUAGCCGGCCUGAGCGGGUCAGCGGCCACACUGGGACUGAGAGACGGCACAGACUACUACGGGAGGCAGAAGUGGGGAAUAGUGCAUAAUGGAAGGAAGCCUGAUGCAGCAACGCCGCGUGGGGGAAGACGGCAAGCGGGUUGUAAUCCAAUGUUAGCAGGGAAGAAAAGAAAAUGACGGUACCAGCAGAAAAAGCGCCGGCUAACUACGUG